rnacentral:hammerhead_ribozyme from 1 species
AUCCAACUGACGAGUCCAAAAUGAGACGAAACGCGUGUCUUGAAU